rnacentral:rRNA from 1 species
AGCGAACGCUGGCGGCAGGCCUAACACAUGCAAGUCGAACGAACUCUUCGGAGUUAGUGGCGGACGGGUGAGUAACACGUGGGAACGUGCCUUUAGGUUCGGAAUAACUCAGGGAAACUUGAGCUAAUACCGAAUGUGCCCUUCGGGGGAAAGAUUUAUCGCCUUUAGAGCGGCCCGCGUCUGAUUAGCUUGUUGGUGAGGUAAUGGCUCACCAAGGCGACGAUCAGUAGCUGGUCUGAGAGGAUGACCAGCCACAUUGGGACUGAGACACGGCCCAAACUCCUACGGGAGGCAGCAGUGGGGAAUCUUGCGCAAUGGGCGAAAGCCUGACGCAGCCAUGCCGCGUGGAUGACGAAGGUCUUAGGACUGUAAAAUCCUUUCACCGGUGAAGAUAAUGACUGUAGCCGGAGAAGAAGCCCCGGCUAACUUCUUGCCAGCCGCCGCAGUAAGAC